rnacentral:rRNA from 1 species
AGAGUUUGAUCCUGGCUCAGAGUGAACGCUGGCGGCGUGGAUUAGGCAUGCAAGUCGAGCGAUUUUUUAAAUAGAGAGGUUGAAGCCGCAAGGUGGAUGCCAAUUUGUUUUAGAAAUAGCGGCAAACGGGUGAGGAAUACGUGAGUAAUUUACCCUUAAAUCGGAGAUAGCUUCGCGAAAGUAAAGAUAAUAUCCGAUGUGUCCAACUUUUCAAAUGAAGAGUUGGGUAAAGGUGGCUCGUAAGAGCUAUUGUUUAAGGAUGAGCUCGCGCCCUAUCAGCUAGUUGGUGAGGUAAUGGCUCACCAAGGCUUUUGACGGGUAGCUGGUCUGAGAGGACGAUCAGCCACACUGGGACUGAGACACUGCCCAGACUCCUACGGGAGGCUGCAGUCGAGGAUAUUUAGCAAUGGACGAAAGUCUGACUAUGCGACGCCGCGUGAGGGAUGAAGGUUUUCGGAUUGUAAACCUCUUUCGAUGGGGAGGAAACUUUUUGGUGUGAAUAAUGCCAGAAACUGACGGUACCUAGAGAAGAAGCCACGGCUAACUCCGUGCCAGCAGCCGCGGUAAUACGGAGGUGGCAAGCGUUACUCGGAUUUAUUGGGUGUAAAGGGCAGGUAGGCGGCUCUGUAAGUCAAAGGUGAAAUUUCAUCUCUCAAAGAUGAAACUGCCUUUGAAACUACAGGGCUUGAGUCUGGAAGAGGAGAUUGGAAUUCCUGGUGUAACAGUGAAAUGUGUAGAUAUCAGGAGGAACACCUGUGGCGAAAGCGAAUCUCUGGUUCAGAUCUGACGCUGAGCUGCGAAAGCUAGGGGAGCAAACAGGAUUAGAUACCCUGGUAGUCCUAGCCGUAAACGAUGAGCACUAGGUGUUGGGGGGCAACCCUCAGCGCCGUAAGAUAACUCGUUAAGUGCUCCACCUGGGGACUACGGCCGCAAGGCUAAAACUCAAAGGAAUUGACGGGGGCCCGCGCAAGCGGUGGAACAUGUGGUUUAAUUCGAUGCUACGCGAAGAACCUCACCAGGGUUUGACAUGUAGGUAGUAGUGAACUGAAAGGGGAACGAUUCCGCAAGGAAAGCCUACACAGGUGCUACAUGGUUGUCGUCAGCUCGUGUCGUGAGAUGUUAGGUUAAGUCCUAUAACGAGCGCAACCAUCAUCUUUUGUUGCUACCAGUUUUGGCGAAAGUCAAAAGCUGAGCACUCUAAAGAAACUGCCUGUGAUAAACAGGAGGAAGGUGGAGAUGACGUCAAAUCAGUAUGGCCCUUAUACCCUGGGCUACACACGUGUUACAAUGCCUGCUACAAAGCGUUGCCAAACCGCGAGGUGGAGCUAAUCGCAAAAAGGCAGGCCCAGUUCAGAUUGAAGUCUGCAAUUCGACUUCAUGAAGCCGGAAUCGCUAGUAACCCCGGAUCAGCUACGCCGGGGUGAAUACGUUCCCGGGCCUUGUACACACCGCCCGUCAAGCGAUGGAAGUUCUGAAUGCCCGAAGU